rnacentral:rRNA from 1 species
AGUGAACGCUGGCGGCAGGCCUAACACAUGCAAGUCGAACGGCAGCACAGAGGAGCUUGCUCCUUGGGUGGCGAGUGGCGGACGGGUGAGGAAUACAUCGGAAUCUACUCUGUCGUGGGGGAUAACGUAGGGAAACUUACGCUAAUACCGCAUACGACCUACGGGUGAAAGCAGGGGAUCUUCGGACCUUGCGCGAUUGAAUGAGCCGAUGUCGGAUUAGCUAGUUGGCGGGGUAAAGGCCCACCAAGGCGACGAUCCGUGGCUGGUCUGAGAGGAUGAUCAGCCACACUGGAACUGAGACACGGUCCAGACUCCUACGGGAGGCAGCAGUGGGGAAUAUUGGACAAUGGGCGCAAGCCUGAUCCAGCCAUACCGCGUGGGUGAAGAAGGCCUUCGGGUUGUAAAGCCCUUUUGUUGGGAAAGAAAUCCAUCUGGUUAAUACCCGGGUGGGAUGACGGUACCCAAAGAAUAAGCACCGGCUAACUUCGUGCCAGCAGCCGCGGUAA